rnacentral:snRNA from 1 species
AUAUUGUCCUCGGAUAGAGGACAUAUCAGAUAUUAAACUGAUAGGUAGGACAAUAUGUUAAAUGGAUUUUUGUAGCAGGGAGAUGGAAUAGGAGCUUGCUCCGUCCACUCCUCGCAUCGACCUGGUAUUGCAGUACUGCCAGGAAUGGUGCACCCCCU